rnacentral:rRNA from 1 species
AUGGAUCCGGACAACCUCGGGAAACUGAGGCUAAUCCGGAAUACGAUUCUCAAGUUGGAAUUGCUGAGAAUCCGAAACGCCCAGGCGCCAUAGGAUGUGGCUGCGGCCGAUUAGGUAGACGGUGGGGUAAUGGCCCACCGUGCCAAUAAUCGGUACGGGUUGUGAGAGCAAGAGCCCGGAGACGGUAUCUGAGACAAGAUACCGGGCCCUACGGGGCGCAGCAGGCGCGAAACCUUUACACUGCACGCCAGUGCGAUAAGGGGACUCCGAGUGCGAGGGCAUAUAGUCCUCGCUUUUCACCACCGUAAGGAGGUGGUAGAAUAAGUGCUUGGCAAGACCGGUGCCAGCCGCCGCGGUAAUACCGGCAGCACGAGUGAUGACCGCUAUUAUUGGGCCUAAAGCGUCCGUAGCUGGCCGCGCAAGUCUAUCGGGAAAUCUGCCCGCCUAACGGGCAGGCGUCCGGUGGAAACUGCGUGGCUUGGGACCGGAAGAUCCAGAGGGUACGUCUGGGGUAGGAGUGAAAUCCUGUAGUCCUGGACGGACCGCCGGUGGCGAAAGCGCUCUGGAAGGACGGAUCCGACGGUGAGGGACGAAAGCUCGGGUCACGAACCGGAUUAGAUACCCGGGUAGUCCGAGCUGUAAACGAUGUCUGCUAGGUGUGUCACAAACUACGAGUUUGUGAUGUGCCGUAGGGAAGCCGUGAAGCAGACCGCCUGGGAAGUACGUCCGCAAGGAUGAAACUUAAAGGAAU